CGAGCAACUAUCUAUCUAUAGAAAAAAGUCAUUGUUUGACGCGUUUAUGAGUUUUUAUUUCUCAUAAUGUAAUUAAGCUCUUUUCCAAGCAUUUCGUGCAUACUAACAUUAUUUUAAGUAAAUAAGCUUAACAAAGUUGCUGCUUGACAAAGUUGCAUUGAAUUUCUUUGGUAUUUCUCCAUAAUAAUUUCUAACAUGGUUAAUCACUAGUUUUCAAACAUAUCUAUGUUUCAACAAGCAACAGUUAGAGAAACGGCAUUUAUACAACUUUUUCAAGCUAUUUUAAUUAGUCACAAAAUAAAUAACGACUUGACAAUAGUUCAAAUGUCUCACUAAAAAUGGAAAGCAUAAAUUACUUGCAUUAGCGGUAAAAAAAAUGAACACUUGCAUGCUUAUGUUUGUGUUGUAUGCACGCACAAGUGUAUAAAUCAAUGAACAAUGAAAUGCUUGCUGCAACCGUGCCUGAGAGCUGCCAUUAAUUUCAACACCUUACAAUGAUUGUCAGUUCAAACAGUAAUUCAUCAAAUAUGAGCACUUUUACAAUGACUGGCUGUUGUUUUUGUUGCUGGCGGCGGCAAUGGUGACUUGCAUGGCUGCGCAAAAUGCUAUGCAACCGCCGCUGAGGCAUGCAGCACACCGAACGACGCCUGUUUUGGGCGUGUUAUGGGUUUUCACGUUGCGAAGGCUUUGUGUGGAAAACACAGAGGCAAACUUUACGUGAUAAAGUGUUGUGUGUAACAAAAAAAAAACGGCGCAUAUUAACAACGAUUACAGAAGUCUUUAAAAUGUAAGCAUAAUAGCUUGAUGGGAUUAUUUUCGAACCAAAGCAUGUAUUGCUAUUCAUAAUCGUGUGGAACGGCACGAAAGUAUUUUUUCUCGAUUUUACAAGUAUAAAAAUUGUUGCACGCGUGAGCACGAAAACAUUUAGCCUAGUUAUACGAUUAUUGUGAAGACUUCCUAUGAAUGCAUCAAUUGUAGUUUUGUUGUUUAACUGCGCUCAAAAGACUUCUCAAGAGAUAUUUAAGGAUUUAAAUUUUUUUGGCGCGAUGAAAAAUAAAUCAUAUCGCAUAUUCUAAAAAGCAGAGAAAAUCCAUCGUGAUGAGAGUCUUGAAGCAACCCUUAUUGGUCACCCUUAGUCAACAAUAUGUGGACGACUUUAUCACUGAUGUAAUAACCAUAUUUAAUAAUAUAUAAAUGGUAUAGUAGACUGCAAAUAUUUAAGGCAUUAUCAAAUUCAUCUUACCUGAAAAGAAAAUGAAAAAAAGAAUUAUUAAAAAGUUCCCCAGUAUGAAUAAAAAUGUAUACUUAUAAAUUUCUAAACGAAAUAAAUAACAUUCACAAUUUCUGUGACAAAAGUAAA